UCGAACGGUAACAGAACUAGCUUGCUAGUUGCUGACGAGUGGCGGACGGGUGAGUAAUGCUUGGGAAUUUGCCUUUAGGUGGGGGACAACAGUUGGAAACGACUGCUAAUACCGCAUGAUAGCUACGGCUCAAAGGGGGCUUCGGCUCCCGCCUUUAGAGAAGCCCAAGUGGGAUUAGGUAGUUGGUGAGGUAAAGGCUCACCAAGCCCACGAUCCCUAGCUGGUCUGAGAGGAUGAUCAGCCACACUGGAACUGAGACACGGUCCAGACUCCUACGGGAGGCAGCAGUGGGGAAUAUUGCACAAUGGGCGAAAGCCUGAUGCAGCCAUGCCGCGUGUGUGAAGAAGGCCUUCGGGUUGUAAAGCACUUUCAGCGAGGAGGAAAGCUUAGUCGUUAAUACCGGCUAGGUGUGACGUUACUCGCAGAAGAAGCACCGGCUAACUCCGUGCCAGCAGCCGCGGUAAUACGGAGGGUGCGAGCGUUAAUCGGAAUUACUGGGCGUAAAGCGUACGCAGGCGGCCAUUUAAGUCAGAUGUGAAAGCCCCGGGCUCAACCUGGGAACUGCAUUUGAAACUGGAUGGCUAGAGUGCGACAGAGGGUGGUAGAAUUUCAGGUGUAGCGGUGAAAUGCGUAGAGAUCUGAAGGAAUACCAAUGGCGAAGGCAGCCACCUGGGUCGACACUGACGCUCAUGUACGAAAGCGUGGGUAGCAAACAGGAUUAGAUACCCUGGUAGUCCACGCCGUAAACGAUGUCUACUAGCAGUUUGGAGCUUAAGCUCUGUCUUGCGCAGCUAACGCAUUAAGUAGACCGCC
rnacentral:rRNA from 1 species